rnacentral:rRNA from 1 species
GAUGAACGCUGGCGGCGUGCCUAAUACAUGCAAGUCGAGCGAAAAGACGAGGAGCUUGCUCCUCUGACGUUAGCGGCGGAAGGGUGAGUAACACGUGGAUAACCUACCUAAAAGACUGGGAUAACUUCGGGAAACCGGAGCAAAUACCGGAUAAUAUAUUGAACCGCAUGGUUCAAUAGUGAAAGACGGUUUUGCUGUAACUUCUAGAUGGAUACGAGCCGCAUUAGCUAGUUGGUAAGGUAACGGCUUACCAAGGCAACGAGGCGUAGCCGACCUGAGAGGGUGAUCGGCCACACUGGAACGGAGACACGGUCCAGACUCCUACGGGAGGCAGCAGUAGGGAAUCUUCCGCAAUGGGCGAAAGCUUGACGGAGCAACGCCGCGUGAGUGAUGAAGGUCUUCGGAUCGGAAAACUCUGUUAUUAGGUAAGAACAAAUGUGUAAUUAACUAUGCACGGCUUGACGGUACCUAAUCAGAAAGCCACGGCUAACUACGUG